rnacentral:lncRNA from 1 species
AUGGUUGGAGGGGUACGGAAUGUGUCACUGAGGAGCUAAUAUUUAAGCUGAGUCCUGAAGAACAUGUCCACCAGCGAGGAAGGCAGGGCAGAAGGCAUUUCCUCAGUGGGACCAGCAGGAAAUAAGGCUUUCGUGGCAGCUAGAAAUGAUUUGCCAUUCCAUGUUGUUCAGGACGUGAAUCAUCCCUUUGGUGGAUCCCCAACCACUGAUGUUGUCAUGGCUCGAUGAUCUUCCUUCUGACACAAAGCCUAACGCUACGUCACAAUGCGUACAUCACUCACCUCACUUCAUCUCAUCACGUAGACUUUGUAGCAUCUCACAUCAUCACAAGAAGAAGGGUGAGUAGGGUACAAUAAAAUACUGAGAGAGAGAGACCACAUUCACAUAACUUUUAUUAUGGUGUAUUAUUAUAAUUGUUCUAUUUAUUAUUUAUUGUUAAUCUCUUACUGUGUCUAAUUUAUAAAGUAAACUUUAUCGUAGGUUCAUAUGUAUAGGAAAAAACAUAGCAUACAUAGGGUUUGGUACUGUCCAUGGUUUUAGGCAUC